GUGCUUGCUUCGGCAGCACAUAUACUAAAACUGGAGUGAUACAGAGAAGAUAGCAUGGCCCCUGCACGAGGAAGACACACAAAUUCGUGAGGCGUUCCAUACUUUU
ensembl:snRNA U6 U6 spliceosomal RNA